rnacentral:lncRNA from 1 species
UGGAUAGGAGGUGUCGAGCUGCAUCAUCCAUAGACUCUUAAUGGGUGGGAACAAGAUUGAUGUUUAGGACGUUGUUGUUGUGGACUACGUCAUAGACUUUUGAUGUGGUCAUGUAGUUAAAAUAUCUUGCUGCAUUAUCAUGAAUUCUUGUUGUGGUCAUGUCAAGUUUGGCCCAAAAAUCCAUCUAGUCAUAUAAUCAAAUUAUCGAUUCAGAGCACUAGUUGUGGAAGACCAAAAAAAGAUAAAUAAAAAAUUGUUUUAAUUAAAGUUAAAGACUUUUACUUCUCAGAUC